rnacentral:siRNA from 1 species
AGCUUCAGCCUCGAGCUCAGACUG